UCCUGUAUCCUAAAGGGGAUUAAUUUCGAACGAUUCAUUUCGAUUUGCCAAAGAUUAGCAAUCUCCAUGCACAAUGACAUUAUCGGCUAUCCAUGCAACGCAAGCCAAAAACAAUUUAUCCUCGUAUCAUACUAUGAUAGUGACAAAAAGGCGGUACUAAUGAACUCAGUAUUCCCCUAGGAAGGGAGGUUAAUCGCAAACAAAUAAACCAAAACAAACAAAAAAAAAACAAUUUAUUUCAUUGAAUAACAUUGUCAACCUUUGUUAGCCGAUUUAAGGCAACAGAUUUAAAAUGUCAAUCAAAAACGUAGAGAGAAAAAAACCAACAACAACAAUAUCUCAACCUCAUGCGUAACCAAAGCCACUAAUUUAACAACUUUAAACUGAUCCAAAUUAUGGUGACAGCAAAUUUCCAUACAAAUUAACACAUCUCCACGUGUGUAAGGGUUCUGCCCAGUGAAUCUUCUAGGUGAAGGUUAUGAUCGCGGGCGAGUUUGUUUAAGAGUUGCACACGAUUCCCCUGUCGUGAGGAGUGGUGUCUUCCAGCAUUCUGCGAAGGUUAAGUUGCUAACGUGUAAGUCGGAAGAGUUUUGGAAGAUCUUAUAAUCGGGCAUGAAUCUUGUGGACAGAAUCAUUAGUGUUCUGGAAAAUAAAUAAAAUAAUCUUCUGGAAGAGUUGCGCAUUACUCUCUCGGACGAGUAAUAUAAAUGUUUUUUAAAAUUUAUUAAA